GUCACAGAGUAAUCAAACUCAGAUUCACCGAUUUACGGUUCACAUCAGGUGAAACCUCCUUUACGGCACUUGUUUACAGAGUACUUGAGCUUGACGGGGGUCCACCAUGUCAGAUGACCAGUGGCCAAACUCUCAGUUCCCCAGCAGAAUGACGGAGUCUCUGAGAGGGGCACCAUCCAGCACCCCCAAUAAGGACGCCAAGGAGGCCGGGAACUCUACAUUCUGCUCGGCCCAUAGGCCAAAACAACAGAUAGAGACCUUUCCCUGACCAGAAGGAGCCCUGCCAGGUCCCAUGGGGAGCAGGAUCGAACCCGCCCCUGCUUCUAGCGCUCCUUAUAGAGGAUAUAAGUAGCCUGGAACAUUGCUCAAUCCACAAACACAUGCUGUGACUUGGCCACAUACUCUUGCUGCAGCA